rnacentral:rRNA from 1 species
AACGAACGCUGGCGGCAUGCCUAACACAUGCAAGUCGAACGAAGGCUUCGGCCUUAGUGGCGCACGGGUGAGUAACGCGUGGGAAACUGCCUAUUGGUGGGGAAUAACGACGGGAAACGGUCGCUAAUACCGCAUAAGCCCUUCGGGGGAAAGAUUUAUCGCCGAUAGAUGUGCCCGCGUCCGAUUAGCUAGUUGGUGAGGUAAUGGCCCACCAAGGCGACGAUCGGUAGCUGGUCUGAGAGGAUGAUCAGCCACACUGGGACUGAGACACGGCCCAGACUCCUACGGGAGGCAGCAGUGGGGAAUAUUGAACAAUGGGCGAAAGCCUGAUCCAGCAAUGCCGCGUGAGUGAUGAAGGCCUUAGGGUUGUAAAGCUCUUUCGGGUGGGACGAUGAUGACGGUACCACCAGAAGAAGCCCCGGCUAACUUCGUGCCAGCAGCCGCAGUAA